AUGUUAGCUCAUCACCCCAAAUUCUACACCAAUAAGGAUGACAACUACUGGAGUGUGCAGGAGGUUUUUGUACGGCUGCUUAAUCAGUCUGUAUCACUGUGGUACACUUUUGGUGGAGGAACCAGACUGGCUGUUGGAAGUGACAGGCGCCCCAGGCUGACGCUGCUUCCCCCCUCCAGUGUGGAGCUGCAGCAGGGGAAGGCCACCCUGGUGUGCCUGGCCACCAAGGGCUUCCCCUGGGACUGGAGGCUGAGCUGGAAGGUGUCCGGGAGCAGCUUGGAGGGGAGCCAGAGCCCUGCUCUCCUGGAGAAGGACGGCCUCUACAGCUGGAGCAGCAGCCUCACCCUCACCCAGGAGCAGUGGAGGAAGCAGCCAGCCGUCACCUGUGAGGCCACCCAGGGCACCCAGCAAGCCGUCACCCAGCACAUCAACACGGGGGACUGUGCCCACUAGAGGCGCAGCACACACACGCGCACACACACACACACACACAUACGUGCGCAAACACACACACGUG